rnacentral:rRNA from 1 species
AGGACCCACGUCGCGGUAUAAAGGUGCUGAGGUGACAGCACCCCAAGGUGGCCAGACAGGACGAACCUGCAGGGUGAUCUGACACACUGGCCCUACUCCUCCGGCAAGACUCCUAGGGGAAGAUUGAAUAAGGAAUCAUCCCCUGAGCACGACAUGCUGACGGAGUGACGACGGGCGUCUGAUUGAGGCUUUCUUUUCGUUGAAAUGAGUGGUUAGGGAUUAACACUUGGUUGUUGAGAAAUUUGGCACCUUGACGGCACCUACCACAACUGUGCCACGCUACCUACGUGCCACCAACGGCGGUAAUAUUUAUGUGGCUUGCGGUAUCCGGAAUUAUUGGACGUGGUUCGCGCGCAUGUGGUUUCUUUCGUCUGAUGUGAAAGCCCACGGCUCAACCGUGGAGGGCAUUGGAAACUGGGAGACUUGAGUGCAGAUGAGGAAAGUGGAAUUCCAUGUGUAGCGGUGAAAUGCGUAGAGAUAUGGAGGAACACCAGUGGCGAAGGCGACUUUCUGGUCUGUAACUGACACUGAGGCGCGAAAGCGUGUGGAGCAAACAGGAUUACAUACCCUGGUAGUCCACGCCGUACCGAUGAG